GGAGGAGUUCCCGAGUGGCCAAAGGGGACAGACUGUAAAUCUGCUGCUUAACGCUUCGGUGGUUCGAAUCCACCCUCCUCCACCA
rnacentral:tRNA from 5 species